rnacentral:lncRNA from 1 species
UGAAUAUUUUAAAUUCAGUUCCAACAUAUAGUUUUUGUUUUUCUAAUUACAACAAAAAUGUAUGAAGAAGUAAAAGCAUUUUUAGAGUUUAUUGAUAAUAUUGGAGAAGAAAAUCGCCCGGGAAGUAUACAAAAGCGAUAUAUUCAAGAUAAAAAUAUAAUCUAAAAUACAAUGGAGUAUUACAAUAUUGAAGUUCAUCAGCGAAUCAGCGCAUUAACUUAAACAAUAAAGGUUUUAUGCUACUUAUAGGAAUAUAACCAGUUUUUAUGAGGACCCCGCUUUCCAAAAAUGUACAGGUACUAGAAGAGAAAUUAUGUGUAUUAUUGUUCAACAACAAGGUUAUCAAGUCAUUCAAUAUUUGAUCUAAGAGCAUUAAGAGUGAAAUUGUGAAAUGGAAAGAAGUGAAAUUCCAGGAUUAUUAAUAGGAAUAGAUGACAGUAGUGGGUAUGCAUGCAGACACUAUCUACUUACCCCAGUAUUACACCCAGGUAAUGAUCAAGAAAAUAAGAUUUUUACCAUAGUACUCAUGUGAGCACAAGAAAUGUAGAAAAGCUAUUUGGAACCUGGAAAAGAGUUUCCUUGUCUUCAACAAGGUCUACAAACCAAAUUAUAUACAUGUCUUGCAAUAAUAUGUGCUACAGCAGUACCUUACAAUCUAGGUAAAUAAUGAUCUGGUGGUAAAUAGACAUGUUAAUGAUGUGGAACAAUUUCUAAAUUUUUGGUGACAUUUUUUUCAACAAUAUUUUGCAUGAGAAUACAUUAUUGAAUACCUACUCUUAUUGUGUUUGAUUUUUUUGUCUAUUAUUUCUCAAAAUAUCAUGAUCAUUGUUCGACAGCCCUUUUUGUUUGAGUUUUGGUCUCUUGAGGAAUACAGCUCCAUUCCAAUCUAUUUCAGGAUUUGUUCUUGCAAUUUUUUAUUUUUAAAAUAUCAAUGUCUUAUUCUGUUUGUUCCUUAUAUCUAAUCUAUAGUCUUUCUCUCGUUAUAUGUCCAGCUGACAUUUGUGUGUUUAUUUUGGAAAGUAUUUCAUAUGCUUCCAUCCUUCCUCUUAGAACGUGGUCCUAUUUUGAUGAAUGCAUAUGGAUCGUGGUAUGCCCUGUAUAGUUCAAAAUUAUAUUUCAUAUGCUUCUAUCCUUCCUCUUAGAACGUGGUCCUAUUUUGAUGAAUGUAUAUGGAUCGUGGUAUGCCCUGUAUAGUUCAAAAUUAUAUUUCAUAUGCUUCCAUCUUUCCUCUUAGAACGUGGUCCUAUUUUGAUGAAUGUAUAUGAAUCGUGGUAUGCCCUGUAUAGUUCAAAAUUAUAUCUUCUCUGGUCUUCAUAUUUUAGAUGCUAUUUAGCCUGAUUCUAGUGCUUUAUCGUUGUUUCCAGUGCUUUAUCAAUUUAUCAUCAUUUAUUUUACCUACCUGUCUACUGCUACUCUACUAUUGUACUUUCACCAUAUAUUUUUGGAAUAUAAAUAUACCUUCUGUCUUUCUCUUGUUCAACUGGAAUUUGUUUAUUUAUUCUGAGAAUACAUUAUUGAAUCUGUAUUAUGUUAGAUAUAUUAUUUUUUAUUUUA